rnacentral:rRNA from 1 species
CCUACGGGAGGCAGCAGUGGGGAAUAUUGCACAAUGGGGGAAACCCUGAUGCAGCGACGCCGCGUGAGCGAUGAAGUAUUUCGGUAUGUAAAGCUCUAUCAGCAGGGAAGAAAAUGACGGUACCUGACUAAGAAGCCCCGGCUAACUACGUGCCAGCAGCCGCGGUAAUACGUAGGGGGCAAGUGUUAUCCGGAUUUACUGGGUGUAAAGGGAGCGUAGACGGUCCUGCAAGCCAGGUGUGAAAGCCCGGGGCUCAACCCCGGGACUGCAUUUGGAACUGUAAGGCUAGAGUGUCGGAGAGGCAGGCGGAAUUCCUAGUGUAGCGGUGAAAUGCGUAGAUAUUAGGAGGAACACCAGUGGCGAAGGCGGCUUGCUGGACGAUGACUGACGUUGAGGCUCGAAAGCGUGGGGAGCAAACAGGAUUAGAUACCCUUGUAGUC